GAAAAUCUUUGAAACCAGGAGCCACGAUAAAAUUUGAUUCAGCAAGAAAAACAACGCAUGUUCCCAGAAAUGUAGCAUAUGCUGAGUUUUUUUUAUAAUGCCAACGUGUGAUUGCUACAGGUUUCCACAGAACACUGGGGAAGUCAACCAAGGCAAAUGGCACUAAGCUGGAUAAAAGUCGCCAUGACUUCGCGGAACCAUGUGAUUUACAUGGUGGAACCAUGUAACUACAGGGGUAUGGUGAGUUUCUGACUCAUCCAUCUCUGCCUGCUGGUCCAUCUGAGCUGUGGACUAAGAGUGGACCUCUCCCCUGCCCCAUGGCAAGCACGUGGACUUCAGAAAGGCAAAAGAUGUAGCGCUGUGAUUCAGAAAUGGUGAAAUAAAAUCAACAGGAUCGCCA
rnacentral:lncRNA from 1 species